rnacentral:rRNA from 1 species
UUCACUUCUUUAUUUUAUUUAGGACUCUAAUAUGUCCAAGGUCAAUAUGGAAAUUCUUUUAGAGGUUUUCCCUUACUUUGUCCGUGUCAACAAACAAUUCGUAAUACCUCUACUUUUUCAGAACAGGUCCGAGUCAAUCCAAUUUCUCGAUUCAAUAGAAGGCCAAAGAGGCGCAUAUGGUACCCAAAUAAGACUAGGAUAGAUAUGUCAAAAGCAGGUCUAAUUACACUUGUUCCUAAUCCUAAAUAG